UUUUGAUUUCGUUUUUCAUUUUCUCUCUUUCUUUCUCACUCUUUCUCUCUUUCUCUCUAACUUCUUUUAUAUAUCUAUAAAAAAUGGAAAAUGCAGUGACUGUGUGAUUUUCACAACAUCUUUACUUAUAGUAUAUUCAUUUCAGUCAUAGGAAGCUUAGCAGGGAAAUAGGAAUUUCAUCUGGUUGGUAGGAAGAAUACCUACUUGGUAUUCAGGGGAGUUCAAGUUCAGGGAGUUUAAUGGGAGCAGCCCAUUCAGCAGGAAAGUAAUCUUUGAUGUGUAGGUACAGUAGUUCAGUGCUCUGACACUACAUUUGCUGGACUGGAGACAGAGCAUGUGAGCUGUGCUGAGAUCUUGGAUGUUCCUGAUACUUCAAAGUGGCAUAGAAAGAAGAAAAUAAACGAAAGAGAACUGAAUUCUUCGGGUGUUGUGACCCUGACUGGUGCUGGGGGAUAGAGGAAGAUGUGAGUACCUUUGAAGAUAGAAUCUAGAUGGGACUUACCCACAUUACAAUGAUACAAACAUACAAUACAUGUUUGCUGGAUAACGAUAUCAACGAGUAGUAAGGCAAUGAAAUGAUUCAGGCUUACUGACACUGUAAAAAUCAAGGUGCCACAACUGGUUCUGCUAUAGACACUCUCUGUAAUUUUGGCCAGGUCACCUCUGGUCAUGCCUUUGUGGGCAGGUGGUUAUGGAUGGUAGGAGUUAUAUACAAAUAUGCAUUUACAAAUCCAAGCAGGUUGUUUAUCAUUAAGUUUUAGGGCCUAAAAAUAUUUAAAAAGUCUUUUCCCUUAACCUAUCAGUAAUAAUAUAACUUCUUUCUCCUUUGCCUUGGUCCAUGCCC
rnacentral:lncRNA from 1 species